CAGCCGCCGCGGGAAAACGAAGGGCGCAAGCGUUAAUCGGAAUUACUGGGCGUAAAGGGUGCGUAGGCGGUUUGUUAAGACAGAUGUGAAAUCCCCGGGCUCAACCUGGGAACUGCAUUUGUGACGUCAAGACUAGAGUGUGAGAGAGGGUUGUGGAAUUCCCAGUGUAGAGGUGAAAUUCGUAGAUAUUGGGAAGAACACCGGUGGCGAAGGCGGCAACCUGGCUCAUUACUGGCGCUGAGGCGCGAAGCGUGGGGAGCAAACAGGAUUAGAUACCCGCGUAGUCCCUGUCUCUUAUACA
rnacentral:rRNA from 1 species